ACUCCUACGGGAGGCAGCAGUGGGGAAUUUUGGACAAUGGGGGCAACCCUGAUCCAGCCAUGCCGCGUGAGUGAAGAAGGCCUUCGGGUUGUAAAAGCUCUUUCGGCCGGGAAGAAAUCGCAUAGGCUAAUACCCUGUGUGGAUGACGGUACCGGAAUAAGAAGCACCGGCUAACUACGUGCCAGCAGCCGCGGUAAUACGUAGGGUGCGAGCGUUAAUCGGAAUUACUGGGCGUAAAGCGCAUGCAGGUGGUUUGUUAAGUCAGAUGUGAAAGCCCGGGGCUCAACCUCGGAAUUGCAUUUGAAACUGGCAGACUAGAGUACUGUAGAGGGGGUAGAAUUUCAGGUGUAGCGGUGAAAUGCGUAGGAGAUCUGAAGGAAUACCGGUGGCGAAGGCGGCCCCCUGGACAGAUACUGACACUCAGAUGCGAAGCGUGGGGAGCAAACAGGAUUAGAUACCCUGGUAGA
rnacentral:rRNA from 1 species